rnacentral:rRNA from 1 species
CAACUUUCAACAACGGAUCUCUUGGCUCUCGCAUCGAUGAAGAACGCAGCGAAAUGCGAUAAGUAAUGUGAAUUGCAGAAUUCAGUGAAUCAUCGAAUCUUUGAACGCACCUUGCGCCCCUUGGUAUUCUGAGGAGCAUGCCUGUUUGAGUGUCAUUA